rnacentral:rRNA from 1 species
CAUGGCCCUUAUAUCCAGGGCUACACACGUGCUACAAUGGCCAACACAAUAGGUUGCUAAGCCGCGAGGUGGCGCCAAUCCAUAAAGUUGGUCUCAGUUCAGAUUGUAGGCUGCAACCCGCCUGCAUGAAGAUGGAGUUGCUAGUAACCGCAGGUCAGCUAUACUGCGGUGAAUACGUUCCCGGGGCUU